CUGGUACUGAAAACUGGCUAGGAAAGACCAUUCUUCCGGUACAUUUGGUGGGUCCUGCAGAACCUGAUAUUGAUAACUGGAUGGCAGAGUUCUGGUGAUGGACUGACUGCCAGUGGCGGGGAUGUUGAGAAGCUUAAACAAGAAAUAUCAUUGUCAAAUUAUCAGUCUUUUCAGGCACUGUUUGCAAAAGAAUCAACUGUGACUUGUAAGAAUGUGAAGGCAGCUUUCUUUCUUUUUCUUUUAGCUUCAGUGAGAUUUGGAUUGGAUGCUUUCCUUGAUACAAAAUCCACCGUGAAUGCUGAAGAGAUGGUGGAUUUUUCAAGAAUAAAAUUCUCAAAUUCCUUCUCUA